rnacentral:tRNA from 1 species
GCGGGCGUGGCGAAAUUGGCAGACGCGCUGGAUUUAGGUUCCAGUGACCGAAAGGUCUUGGGGGUUCAACUCCCCCCGCCCGCA